UUAUCGGAGAGUUUGAUCCUGGCUCAGGACGAACGCUGGCGGCGUGCCUAAUACAUGCAAGUCGAGCGGACAGAUGGGAGCUU
rnacentral:rRNA from 2 species